rnacentral:rRNA from 1 species
CUGCUGCCUCCCGUAGGAGUUUGGGCCGUGUCUCAGUCCCAAUGUGGCCGUUCACCCUCUCAGGCCGGCUACUGAUCGUCGCCUUGGUGGGCCGUUACCCCGCCAACCAGCUAAUCAGACGCGGGUCCAUCUUGCACCACCGGAGUUUUUCACACUGAGCCAUGCGGCUCUGUGCGCUUAUGCGGUAUUAGCACCUAUUUCUAAGUGUUAUCCCCCGGUGCAAGGCAGGUUCCCCACGCGUUACUCACCCGUCCG